GACCGCGUAGCUCAGUUGGAAGAGCAUUGGGCUAGUAUUCCAAAGGUCGUAGGUUCGAAUCCCGCGGUGGCCA